rnacentral:rRNA from 1 species
CUCUGAAGCUAAACCGUGCUGGGUCUGGACAGUACUUGGAUGGGAGACCACUGUGAAUACUGGGUGCCAUAGUGG